AAUUAGGAUCUGCUACACAAGCAAUUGGGCCCAUGCCCCAAAAACGGUAAAAUCUACCUCCUAAUA
rnacentral:tRNA from 1 species